UGACUCUUUGGACCUGAGUUUCUAUAAUUCUGGCCCCAGUAAAAGGGUCUGGUUGAAUCAGGAGUCCCAGAAAGCUUUAGUGCAUUUCUGGAAUCUCAUGGAUUCCAGUCUUCCUAGAGAGAGUAAAUCAUUAUUCGUGUGUGUGUGUGUGUGUGUGUGUACACCCAGGUUCCAGCCUCAUACACUUCUCCAGAAUAGAAGAAUUAGAAGCAUGGUGAAAAAACCCCAGAAUUCCUUAAAACUUCUUUGGGAAUCAUCUCCUGGAUUUGGCCUCCUUUCCUCCUGUGACAUUUUUCAUCUCAAAGCUCUAAAUUCUUUUCACAGCCGCUAAGUAGGUGAAAGCCCUUCGAGAACAGUCUCCUAUUGUCUCGCUUUCCUCUGGGAAAUAAGUGGGAAGGUGAUUUGAGGAGUUGGGGAGGAGAGAACAUUUUCCCUGCACCUCAAAUCUGGCAGGCCCAGGUUGAAAAAGCUCCAGAAAAUGUAGCACUUGAAAAUGUAGCCAGGAGAUUGGAGACCCAGGAGGCCCAGAACGAGAAGCAAAAGUGGGUUUGCAGUGUUAUUCUUGUCUUCGCUAGGCCAAUCCCUCCUCCUUGCCGUGCUGUGCUUGCUGCCUGGAGCAGAUCUUUUUUAAAGGGUAACUCUCUCCUUGCUGAACCAGAGCUUUUGUCGCUUUGGCCUAUGGGGUUCCCGUGGACAAAGGAGGGAAUUGGGAGAGAGGACCAAGUCCCCGUCUGGCCACCUUGCAGCCAGAGCAGGCUCAGGUUGUGUGAGCGUGCACCACAUGGCUGUGAGUGUCCCUUUUCCCCAUCACUGUUUUGCUGGUGACACAAUCAGCCUCUUGAAGAUGCUAAUGAGAUUCUUGUAGAGAGCUACAAAAUCAGCUGUGGCAGAUGGUAGAAGGUUAGGUUUUAAUUUCUCUUGUUCUACUGUUGUUUUUCUCUAAAAAUGUGCUAACCAACGUGCCGUUUUCUUGUGCUUUAUUUCGACAAAGGCACAAGUUAAUUUUUUAAAAUCCUUUUCAUCCAACCAUCCUCUCUAAUCAAAAACUCAAUGGGCAAUAUCUUUUUAGAAACAAAAGCAAACCAUUACCUGGCAUCUUCUCUCCCCCCUGCCCCCCAUGCAGUCUGUAUUUCUUUACACAGUCGAAAUCUUGUAAAUCGUCUCUGAAUCUAUAGAGAUAAUAUAUACCAAUGUUAUGAGAGCCCCUAGGAAUGUCUAAUUUCAUUUUCUUAUUGGCUGGGACAAGGCUAUUGGGUUUUGGUUAAUCUGUACUCCUCUAUAGAUAGAUAUAAAAGCAAAAAAAUAUUAUUGGAGCCAAUAAAGAGAAUAGCUACCAUUUAUUGAAUAUUUUUGAUAUCUGAGCACCAUGCUAAAUAAGGUAUGGACACUAUUUAAUUUACGUCUCACAUUAAUCCUAUAAGUAGGCACUAUCAUUAUCCCCAUUUCACAGAUGAGGAGACUGACACUUGGAGAAAGAAACUUAUUCAAGAUCAGAUGGCAGGAAGUGGCAGAACUGGAAUUCAAAGCCUGGAGGCCCCACUCCAAAAUCAGUGCUUUGAAACGGUGUGUUCUUUUGUUUUCCUUGAUGAAUUUCUGUUGCAUUAGUGCUGUAGGCUUAAAGAUUCAGGAGUAAUUUUCCUGAUUUCAAACCCUUGUUUGGGGCCCAGAUAUCAAAAGACUUAUUUAUGGUGGGAGGCGCUGACCUGACUUAUGGCAGUGUUGGUUUGGCUGCAAAGAUGGAAGACAGAUCCAUCAUUUUGCAAAUGAAGAAAUUGGGAUCCACUGGGUAUAAUGUGUCAGCUAUCUAUUGCUGUGUAACAAAUCAGCCUAAAAUUUAGAGGCUUAACCCACAAAAGCAUUUUCUUGCUCCCAAUUCUGUGGGCCAGGACUUUGGGCAGAAUUCAUUAGUGCUGUCUCAGGACUAUUCCAUGUGAUGUCAGCUAGGCUGCUGGGACUAGGGCUUCUCUCACAGGCUUGGGGCCUAGAGGUUGGUGGCUGGCUUUCUGCCCAACAUGACAGCCUGGACUUUAGGUGGUGGCUCAAGGUGGCAAGAGAGCAAAGGGCCUCAGCCCAGACUGGAACAGCACCCCCUCUGUCUCCUUCUAUUGGUCCAAGCCACACUCAAGUUCCUUGAUUCAAGGGGAGGGAAAUAGACUGCACCUUCUGAUGAGAGGAGUAGCAUAUGCCAAUAGGGGUGGCCUGUGCAUGGCCAUCUUUGCCGACAGCACCACACAUGGUGACAGACAGCCAAGGAAUAGGCCAGUAUUACAGAAAAUCCUAUUAAACUACAUUCUACGGAGUUGCCCUUGUGGCUCAGCAGUAAUGAAUCCAACUAGCAUCCAUGAGGAUGCAGGUUCAUCCCUGGCCUCGUUCAGUGGGUUAAGGAUCCGGCGUCGCCGUGAGCUGUGGUGUAGGUCGCAGACAUGGCUCAGAUCCUGUGUUGCUGUGGCUGUGGUGUAGGCCGGCAGCUGCAGCUCUGAUUUGACCCCUCUCCUGGCAUGCCACACAUGAGGCCCU
ensembl:lncRNA